CUUUCUCCACAAACUAUUUUUUAAGGGACCGUGUCUUCGUAUGUGGUUUUUCUGCUCGUCUAAAAAGUCAAAAUUUCUGAUGGAUUUAUUUUACCAUCCAUUGUUUCACGUUUUCCAUUUCAUGAUUUCAUGCGUGCUAAGUAAAAGGUAACUUAAAGUAUGCUAUAUAAAUAAUUACAUAUUAUUAUAAUGAUCAUUCUAGGGAUUUAUCUAACCAAGCAUGAAUUCUGAUAAAGUCAAUUACCUUUUCUGUGAAGAAAAAAAUUACUCAACUACAAGUGCUUAUAGUUCAUGGUUUCUCGAUGGUGCAAGUGUCACUCAAGACAUCUUCCUUCACAAUUCCCUACUCACAACUAAGUGCCUUUGAUCCAGGACCAUGAGACGUCUUUUAGUUUAGCAAGUACAAAUUGUACAACUUAUUCCUUUUUUCUAAUAAUUUAAAAUCAUUCUUUAUGGAUGUUUUUGAAUAUUUAUAUCAACUAGAAAUUAAUCUGUAAAAUUUUUAGAAAAUAUUUUAAUGCAUUUGACAUGACCUCUAAAUAGUUUGAAACGGUUGA